GUUUUAUAAGGUGAUUUGUUGCACAACGAGGUGCAUUUAGUUAACGCUACUGUGCUGUCCACUUAAAAAUGGUUAAGAUGGUAAAUGUUGUGGUUUGUGUAAGAUUCAAGGUAAAAACACACAAAAAAGUAGUGAAAAUUGAACUUGUAAAUUCAAUGUAAAGUAUUUGAAGUUACAAGGAUUAGCCAGACAUUGAUUGAGGAGAGAGGUGUGGCUAAGCAACAAUCGUUAAAGUCAGGUAAGUGCUGCCUUGGCAGAGUUGCAAUUCCUCUGAACACUGAAGCUACAUGUCCUUUGUACUGAGAGCCAGUCAAGAUAUAGAGAAAUGUGUCAGUGCACGUUAAGAGCAGAGCUCAGGAAAAAAAAACUCAGUAACAGGAGAAGUCCCCACUCUGACCAGGUUUAGAGGUCUUCUGAAGCUAUUCCUUAGUCUGGAUCAUUUCAAGAGGAACACAGCAGGAUGGGGCUACAAACCUGUACAGCAAGUUACUACACUGAAUACUGUAGGCGCUUAUAACACAAUGCAGGACCUGCUACGUUCUGGACUGUGGCAUCCAUGAAAAUCUGCUUUUCAUCCCCCACUGCCUGAACACUGGGCUAAUACAGGAGCCUCUCCCCCAGCCAGCUUCUCCUAACCUCUCGCCGCCUCUGGCUGCUCUAAGCAACUCCAGAAAGUCUCCUUCACUCAGACCCACUGUUUAAUGCCUACAGCAGCCACAUCUGGCCCCAACGUGACUACUCCCAAGGGACAUAAAGAUCUCUGAGACAAUCAGCCACUUGUCCACCAAAUGAGAGAGGGGCCUGACGAUUGGUGGAGAGGAGGGAGGGGAGGGGAGGAGGAUGAGGAGGGUGCCAAAGGGGAAGGAGGAACCAGGAUUCCUGGAAUUUCUGCCUCCUCAGCCAAUGUCCAGGAGCAAGCUGGGCAAUAAACAAGACUUACUCACACAUGGGACUUUGGCCUUGAAGUCCUGAGACAUGAAUUUCUGGGCGAUGGUUCACCAGACACUGGGACUCCAGGGCUUGAAGCCCCAUACCUUAUUAUGGGGCUUGUAACAAAUAAGUUACUAUUCAUUUACUGUCAUAAGGGAUUGGAAUUCCUGUCCCUGGUCACAAAAUACCUCCCUCCUCAAACCAGCAACUCAGAUCCUCUUAUUCUAUGUCAGGGAUCAAAGCUGGCUUUGUCUGGAAAAGCCAUUAAUUGGGGGCUGGCUUAAAGACCUUACUGAAGAGGAGCAUAUUGGGGUGAAUGGUCCAGCCCCCUUCCUCACACCACCUUACUGUCAGGGCAAGGAAGGGACUAGUCAUAAGUGAUGCUAUGACAUGAGUCGCCAUUACUAUGAGCUUCUCCUGUGUCAGGCCCUGCACUCAGCACCUUAUACACAUUACUGCAUUUAACCUUAUGACCCCCUAAUGUAAGCCUGAUAUUUAUUCCCAUUUUACCUGUGAGGAAACUGAAGCUCAGGAAAGGGAAUUAAUUUGCCCAAUCUAGUGCAUAGGGAAGCCAGGAUUGGGACCCAGACCGAUCUGAUGGCAGAGGCCUCUUCUCCCUUAGACAGGUUGGGGUCAGAGCAAGCUUUACCCCUCCAGCACCCAGUCCUGGGUCCCUCCAGAGCCAGAAUACCUGCUGGAGUACAGCAGUGUUGGUCCUGCUGCUGAUUUCAAGCUAAAAGCCUAAGCACAAGGAAAGCCCAGGUGAAGUUGUCUUCAUUUGCCAGGAGUGGCUUCAUAUGCAGGAGAGAUUCCCUACCGAGGGGCAGAAUUGUCACUGCUCAGAGGUGGUGGAGAGGAAAGGGCCCAGGGACCACCACUGCCCCUUUCUCCACCAGCAAGUCCUCCCCUGGAUGAACAGGAAGACACUGAGACCCUGUGAGCCUCCAACCUGCUCCUCCUGGUGCCAGAACGCCACGACCUCUGAUGGACUAGUGUCCUAGGCAGUGACCAUCCGUGGCUGUCAACAUCCCCCAAAGAGAGACAAAGCAGACUUUACGUGCCCCCUGUGGGAAGUGCCCAACACCACCCUAAAGCAGACUUGCCAAAAAUUGAACUUGAAUCUGAUCAAGUCUCUAGAUCCAACUUUCCAUUCAUAGGAAAGACAGGGGACAGAGGAAUAUGUUUUAAACUACGUCACAAGGAUGUCACCACAAAAAUGCAGGCCAAACAACUUGGUUUCUUUAACAAAUAAAUAACAAGAAAAAAAUAGGAGGGAGGGAGAAAGAAUGUAGAUUACAAGAAACUUUAAAGAGAGCAAUCAAUUUACACAUGUAGACCUUAAUUGGCCCCUGAUUCAAACAGUAAAAAGCAAAAACAAAACAGUUUAACAAUUUGUAACAUUUAUGAGACAACUGGAAAUGUGAACACCGAAUGGACAGCUGAUGGUAU